AACGAACGCUGGCGGCAUGCCUAACACAUGCAAGUCGAACGAGACCUUCGGGUCUAGUGGCGCACGGGUGCGUAACGCGUGGGAACCUGCCCUUAGGUUUGGAAUAACUCCCCGAAAGGGGUGCUAAUACCGGAUAAUGUCUUCGGACCAAAGAUUUAUCGCCUUUGGAUGGGCCCGCGUUGGAUUAGCUAGUUGGUAGGGUAAAAGCCUACCAAGGCGACGAUCCAUAGCUGGUCUGAGAGGAUGGUCAGCCACACUGGGACUGAGACACGGCCCAGAAUCCUACGGGAGGCAGCAGUGGGGAAUAUUGGAAAAUGGGCGAAAGCCUGAUCCCGCAAUGCCGGGUGAGUGAUGAAGGCCGUAGAGUUGUAAAGCUCUUUUACCCGGGAUGAUAAUGACAGUACCGGGAGAAUAAGCUCCGGCUAACUCCGUG
rnacentral:rRNA from 1 species